AACGCAUAUUGCGCCCGAAGCUUCGGCCUAGGGCAUGCCUGCCUCAGCGUCGGUUUUGAGCCCCGAGGCGUUCUACCUCACUACGGGGCGAGUUGUUGCUAAUCAAAUACAAUGAUGCGUACCAACCUCUGUGGCAUUUCCGUGGCUGUGUUGUCUUGGGUUUGCUGAAAAUGAGGGCACGAGUAAGGAGCACAUACGCUUCGACUGGACAGGUUCGCAUGGAAAUGCGUAACACGAAGUUGAAGCGCGCGCUUUGCAAGUGCCAUGCAGGAAGCCAUUCAUUUGGCGUCACAAACCUUCGACCUGAGCUCAGGCAAGAUUACCCGCUGAACUUAA
rnacentral:misc_RNA from 1 species